UACAGAGGGUGCGAGCGUUGUCCGGAAUCACUGGGCGUAAAGGGCGCGUAGGCGGCCUGAUAAGUAGGGGGUGAAAUCCUGUGGCUUAACUGCAGGGCUGCCUCCUAGACUGUUAGGCUCGAGCACGGUAGAGGCAGAUGGAAUUCUCGGUGUAGCGGUGAAAUGCGUAGAUAUCGAGAGGAACACCUGCGGCGAAGGCGGGUUGCUGGGCUGACACUGACGCUGAACUGCGAAAGCUAGGGGAGCGAACGGG
rnacentral:rRNA from 1 species